GGAAACAAUACUGACAAUGGAACAGAUCCUAACCCACCAGUGGUGCCAUCCUCAGCACCUCCAGGAAACAAUACUGAUAAUGGAACAGAUCCUAACCCACCAGUGGUGCCAUCCUCAGCACCUCCAGGAAACAAUACUGACAAUGGAACAGAUCCUAACCCACCAGUGGUGCCAUCCUCAGCACCUCCAGGAAACAAUACUGAUAAUGGAACAGAUCCUAACCCACCAGUGGUGCCAUCCUCAGCACCUCCAGGUAA